UGGUAAGCCGUAUGGAUCGGAGAGCUUCGUUGAACGUUGAAGCUUUGAGGAGGCAAUCGUCUAGGUGGCUGGAGGCCUAGGGACCGGAGGGUUGCUCUUGCGUCCUUCAUCGAAUGCAGCAUGUCGUUUGUGGUGGAGGCAAAAAGUUUUUCCCCAUCGAAGGGAAGAUCUUCAAUGGUGCUCUGGACCUCUCGAGGGAAGAAGGAGGAAGAGAGCCAUGAACCUCGUCGCAUGACCACUGCUGUGGCGGUCGACCUUGCUGCAGUGUUAGCUACAUCGAGGGCCGCUUGGAGAGCGGUGCGUGAUAUGGUUUGUCCCUCGGAAACCAGAGCUGUGAAUUGUUGUUUCUUCUGUUCUGGGAUGUGAUCAAUAAAAUCCAUGAAUUUA